UGGCUCAUUAAAUCAGUUAUCGUUUAUUUGAUAGUACCUUACCACUUGGAUAACCGUGGUAAUUCUAGAGCUAAUACAUGCUAAAAACCCCGACUUCGGAAGGGGUGUGUUUAUUAGAUAAAAAACCAAUGCCCUUCGGGGCUCUUUGGUGAUUCAUGAUAACCUAACGGAUCGCAUGGCCUUGCGCCGGCGACGGUUCAUUCAAAUUUCUGCCCUAUCAACUUUCGAUGGUAAGGUAUUGGCUUACCAUGGUUUCAACGGGUAACGGGGAAUUAGGGUUCGAUUCCGGAGAGGGAGCCUGAGAAACGGCUACCACAUCCAAGGAAGGCAGCAGGCGCGCAAAUUACCCAAUCCCGACACGGGGAGGUAGUGACAAUAAAUACUGAUACAGGGCUCUUUUGGGUCUUGUAAUUGGAAUGAGUACAAUUUAAACCCCUUAACGAGGAACAAUUGGAGGGCAAGUCUGGUGCCAGCAGCCGCGGUAAUUCCAGCUCCAAUAGCGUAUAUUAAAGUUGUUGCAGUUAAAAAGCUCGUAGUUGAAACUUGGGUCUGGCUAGCGGGUCCGCCUCACCGCGUGCACUUGUCCGGCUGGACCUUUCCUUCUGGAGAACCUCAUGCCCUUCACUGGGUGUGUUGGGGAACCAGGACUUUUACUUUGAAAAAAUUAGAGUGUUCAAAGCAGGCCUUUGCUCGAAUACGUUAGCAUGGAAUAAUAGAAUAGGACGUGCGGUCCUAUUUUGUUGGUUUCUAGGAUCGCCGUAAUGAUUAAUAGGGAUAGUCGGGGGCAUCAGUAUUCAAUUGUCAGAGGUGAAAUUCUUGGAUUUAUUGAAGACUAACUACUGCGAAAGCAUUUGCCAAGGAUGUUUUCAUUAAUCAGUGAACGAAAGUUAGGGGAUCGAAGACGAUCAGAUACCGUCGUAGUCUUAACCGUAAACUAUGCCGACUAGGGAUCGGGCGAUGUUUCUAUCUUGACUCGCUCGGCACCUUACGAGAA
rnacentral:rRNA from 1 species